GGUUUUGGGUUCUUAUCCCAUUUGAGACCAAAUUUCAACAAGUUUUUCUUCUCACUUCUAAACAUUUUCCAUGCAUCUCUUGCAGUUGUAAUCAAUCAAAUUCAUUGUAUUUUAACAUAUUCUAACCUAAAAUAACUUUAUACAAGCCAUUCACUGCCUCAAAGCAAUGGUUUUGGGUUCUUAUCCCAUUUGGGACCAUAUAUCAACAAGUUUUUCUUCUCACUUCUAAACAUUCUUCAUGCAUCUCUAGCAGUUGUAAUCAAUCAAAUUCAUUGUAUUUUAACAUAUUCUAACCUAACAUAUUCUAACCCAAAAUAACUUUAUACAAACCAUUCAGUGCCUCAAAGCAAUGGUUUUGGGUUCUUAUCCCAUUUGGGAUCAAAUAUCAACAAUCGUUCUUCUCACUUCUAAACAUUCUUCAUGCAUCUCUAGCACUUGUAAUCAAUCAAAUUCAUUGCAUUAUAUGAUAUUCUAAGCCCAAAUAACUUUAUCCAAUCCAUUCUUUGCCUCAAAGCAAUGGUUUUGGGUUCUUAUCCCAUUUGAGACCAAAUUUCAACAAGUCUUUCUUCUCACUUCUAAACAUUCUUCAUGCAUCUCUAGCACUUGUGAUCAAUCAAAUUCAUUGUAUUAUAACAUAUUCUAACCCAAAAUAAUUUUAUACAAGCCAUUCUUUGCCCAAAGAAAUGGUUUUGGGUUCUUAUCCCAUUUGAGACCAAAUUUCUACAAGUCUUUCUUCUCACUUCUAGACAUUAUUCAUGCAUCUCUAGCACUUGUAAUCAAUCAAAUUCAUUGUAUUAUAACAUAUUAUAACCCAAAAUAAC
rnacentral:lncRNA from 1 species